GAACAUGAGCUGUACGCGAACAAAUCACUAAAACGAUUGGCUGCUGUGGAUCUACACUUUUUAUUUUUUCUCUAUAACAAGUGUCCAGAUUUCUUCUUCAACUAUUGCAAGAAAGAACUUUCCGUAAGCAGAUUAUCGGACAUGCGAAAA